rnacentral:rRNA from 1 species
AGAGUUUGAUCAUGGCUCAGGAUGAACGCUGGCGGCGUGCCUAACACAUGCAAGUCGAGCGAUUCUCUUCGGAGAAGAGCGGCGGACGGGUGAGUAACGCGUGGGUAACCUGCCCUGUACACACGGAUAACAUACCGAAAGGUAUGCUAAUACGGGAUAACAUGUUUUGAUCGCAUGGUCGAAAUAUCAAAGCUCCGGCGGUACAGGAUGGACCCGCGUCUGAUUAGCUAGUUGGUGAGGUAACGGCUCACCAAGGCGACGAUGAUUAGCCGACCUGAGAGGGUGAUCGGCCACAUUGGGACUGAGACACGGCCCAAACUCCUACGGGAGGCAGCAGUAGGGAAUAUUGCGCAAUGGGGGGAACCCUGACGCAGCAACGCCGCGUGAGUGAUGAAGGUUUUCGGAUCGUAAAACUCUGUCAUUGGGGACGAAUAAAUUGACGGUACCCAAGAAGGAAGCCCCGGCUAACUACGUGCCAGCAGCCGCGGUAAUACGUAGGGGGCGAGCGUUGUCCGGAAUCACUGGGCGUAAAGAGUAUGUAGGCGGCAUUUUAAGUCAGAUGUGAAAGUUCACGGCUCAACCGGGAAAGUGCAUCUGAAACUGGAAUGCUUGAAUAUCGGAGGGGCAAGCGGAAUUCUUAGUGUAGCGGUGAAAUGCGUAGAGAUUAGGAAGAACACCGGUGGCGAAGGCGGCUUGCUGGACGAAUAUUGACGCUGAGAUACGAAAGCGUGGGGAGCAAACAGGAUUAGAUACCCUGGUAGUCCACGCUGUAAACGAUGAAUACUAGGUGUUGGGGAAACUCAGUGCCGCAGUUAACACAAUAAGUAUUCCGCCUGGGGAGUACGCACGCAAGUGUGAAACUCAAAGGAAUUGACGGGGGCCCGCACAAGCAGCGGAGCAUGUGGUUUAAUUCGAAGCAACGCGAAGAACCUUACCAGGUCUUGACAUCCCUUGAUUGCCUAAGAGAUUAGGAGUUCCUUCGGGACAAGGAGACAGGUGGUGCAUGGUUGUCGUCAGCUCGUGUCGUGAGAUGUUGGGUUAAGUCCCGCAACGAGCGCAACCCCUAUGUUUAGUUACUAACAUUUAGUUGAGGACUCUAGACAGACUGCCCGUGAAAGCGGGAGGAAGGUGGGGAUGACGUCAAAUCAUCAUGCCCCUUAUGACCUGGGCUACACACGUGCUACAAUGGUCCGUACAGAGGGUAGCGAAAGAGCAAUCUGGAGCCAAUCUCAAAAAACGGAUCUCAGUUCGGAUUGCAGGCUGCAACUCGCCUGCAUGAAGUUGGAGUUGCUAGUAAUCGCAGAUCAGAAUGCUGCGGUGAAUGCGUUCCCGGGCCUUGUACACACCGCCCGUCACACCAUGAGAGUCGGUAACGCCCAAAGUCAGUGAGCUAACCAUUUAUGGAGGCAGCUGCCUAAGGCGGGAUCGGUGAUUGGGGUGAAGUCGUAACAAGGUA